GUUGGGUACAGUGGCCCAUACCUGUAAUUCCAGUGACUUGGGAGGCUGAGGCAGGAGGAUCGUGAGUUCAAAGCAAGCCUCAGCAAAAGUGAGGUGCUAAGCAACUCAGUGAGACCCUGUUUCUA
rnacentral:sRNA from 1 species